AGCGAACGCUGGCGGCGUGCCUAAUACAUGCAAGUCGAGCGGACGAAUCGAAAGCUUGCUUUUGAUUCGUUAGCGGCGGACGGGUGAGUAACACGUGGGCAACCUGCCCUGUAGACGGGGAUAACACCGAGAAAUCGGUGCUAAUACCGGAUAACACGAAAUGUCGCAUGACGUUUCGUUGAAAGACGGCGCAAGCUGUCGCUACAGGAUGGGCCCGCAGCGCAUUAGCUAGUUGGUGAGGUAACGGCUCACCAAGGCGACGAUGCGUAGCCGACCUGAGAGGGUGCUCGGGCACACUGGGAGUGGAACCCGGGCCAGCUGCCUACGGGAGGCAGAAGUAGGGAAUCUUCCGCAGUGGACGAAAGUCUGACGGAGCAGCGCCGCGGGAGCGAAGAAGGCCUUCGGGUCGUAAAGCUCUGUUGUUAGGGAAGAACAAGUAACGCAGUAACUGGCGUUACCGUGACGGUACCUAACGAGAAAGCCACGGCUAACUACGUGCCAGCCGCCGCAGUAA
rnacentral:rRNA from 1 species